rnacentral:rRNA from 1 species
UUCUGGUUGAUCCUGCCAGAGGCGACCGCUUUUGGAGUUCGAUUAAGCCAUGCGAGUAGAAUGAAUUAGAUCAUUGCAAACUGCUCAGUAACACGUGGAUAACCUGCCCUAUGCUCUGGGAUAACCUCGGGAAACUGAGAAGAAUACCGGAUAGACCACAACGCCUGGAACGGUGUGUGGUUGAAAGGUCACGGCAUAGGAUGGGUCUGCGGCGUAUCAGGUCGUAGGGGGUGUAACGGACCUCCUAGCCAUCGACGCGUACGGGUUGUGGGAGCAAUAGCCCGGAGAUGGAUUCUGAGACACGAAUCCAGACCCUACGGGGUGCAGCAGGCGCGAAAACUUCACACUGCAGGAAACUGUGAUGAGGGAACUCCAAGUGACUGCACAUUGUGUAGCCUUUUCUUUACUAUUAAUCGGUAUUGGAAUAAGGGCUGGGAAAGACCGGUGCCAGCCGCCGCGGUAAUACCGGCAGCUCAAGUGGUCGUCGCUUUUAUUGGGCCUAAAACGUCCGUAGCCUGUUUGGUAAAUCUGUGGGUAAAUCAACCAGCUUAACUGGUUGAAUUCUGCAGAGACUGCCAGACUAGGGACCGGGAGAGGUGUGGGGUACUCUAGGGGUAGGGGUAAAAUCCUGUCAUCCUUAGAGGACCACCAGUUGCGAAGGCGCCACACUGGAACGGAUCCGACGGUCAGGGACGAAGCCUAGGGGCACGAACCGGAUUAGAUACCCGGGUAGUCCUAGGUGUAAACGCUGUGAACUUGGUGUCGGGAGUCCGCAAUGGGCCCCCGGUGCCGGAGUGAAGAUGUUAAGUUCACUGCCUGGGGAGUACGGUCGCAAGGCUGAAACUUAAAGGAAUUGGCGGGGGAGCACUGCAACGGGAGGAGCGUGCGGUUUAAUUGGAUUCAACGCCGGGA